rnacentral:rRNA from 1 species
ACGCUGGCGGCAGGCCUAACACAUGCAAGUCGAGCGGUAGAGAGAAGCUUGCUUCUCUUGAGAGCGGCGGACGGGUGAGUAAUGCCUAGGAAUCUGCCUGGUAGUGGGGGAUAACGUUCGGAAACGGACGCUAAUACCGCAUACGUCCUACGGGAGAAAGCAGGGGACCUUCGGGCCUUGCGCUAUCAGAUGAGCCUAGGUCGGAUUAGCUAGUUGGUGAGGUAAUGGCUCACCAAGGCGACGAUCCGUAACUGGUCUGAGAGGAUGAUCAGUCACACUGGAACUGAGACACGGUCCAGACUCCUACGGGAGGCAGCAGUGGGGAAUAUUGGACAAUGGGCGAAAGCCUGAUCCAGCCAUGCCGCGUGUGUGAAGAAGGUCUUCGGAUUGUAAAGCACUUUAAGUUGGGAGGAAGGGCAUUAACCUAAUACGUUAGUGUUUUGACGUUACCGACAGAAUAAGUACCGGCUAACUCUGUGCCAGCAGCCGCGGUAAUACAGAGGGUGCAAGCGUUAAUCGGAAUUACUGGGCGUAAAGCGCGCGUAGGUGGUUUGUUAAGUUGGAUGUGAAAUCCCCGGGCUCAACCUGGGAACUGCAUUCAAAACUGACUGACUAGAGUAUGGUAGAGGGUGUGGAAUUUCCUGUGUAGCGGUGAAAUGCGUAGAUAUAGGAAGGAACACCAGUGGCGAAGGCGACCACCUGGACUAAUACUGACACUGAGGUGCGAAAGCGUGGGGAGCAAAC